rnacentral:rRNA from 1 species
UACGGAGGGGGCUAGCGUUGUUCGGAAUUACUGGGCGUAAAGCGCGCGUAGGCGGCUUUGUAAGUUAGAGGUGAAAGCCCGGAGCUUAACUCCGGAACUGCCUUUAAGACUGCAUCGCUAGAAUCGUGGAGAGGUGAGUGGAAUUCCGAGUGUAGAGGUGAAAUUCGUAGAUAUUCGCAAGAACACCAGUGGCGAAGGCGGCUCACUGGCCCGGUACUGACGCUGAGGUGCGAAAGCGUGGGGAGCAAACAGG